rnacentral:rRNA from 1 species
CGGUGUUCAACUGGCGUGCCCGCGGGACGUCCUGCCGGUGAGCUCAGCCCGCGAGGGCGGCUCAACUUGAAAUCCCAUCGCGGUGCUCUUCAUUGAGUGUCGAGGUGGGCCGGCACGAUCACUUUUGAACAAAUUAGAGUGCUUAAAGCAGGCUAAAAUUUUGCCUGAAUACUGUGUAUAUGGAAUAAUGGAAUAGGACCUCGGUUCUAUUUUGUUGGUUUUCGGAACCCCGAGGUAAUGAUUAAUAGGAACGGAUGGGGGCAUUCGUAUUGCGACGUUAGAGGUGAAAUUCUUGGAUCGUCGCAAGACGGACUAAAGCGAAAGCAUUUGCCAAAAACGCUUUCAUUGAUCAAGAACGAAAGUUAGAGGUUCGAAGGCGAUCAGAUACCGCCCUAGUUCUAACCAUAAACUAUGCCAGCUAGCGAUCCGCCGACGUCCCUCUGAUGACUCGGCGGGCAGCUUCCGGGAAACCAAAGCUUUUGGGUUCCGGGGGAAGUAUGGUUGCAAAGCUGAAACUUAAAGGAAUUGACGGAAGGGCACCACCAGGAGUGGAGCCUGCGGCUUAAUUUGACUCAACACGGGAAACCUCACCAGGCCCAGACACUGGAAGGAUUGACAGAUUGAGAGCUCUUUCUUGAUUCAGUGGGUGGUGGUGCAUGGCCGUUCUUAGUCGGUGGAGCGAUUUGUCAGGUUAAUUCCGAUAACGGACGAGACUCUGACCUGAUAACUAGACGCACUUGCGGCAUCUCAAAGGUCCGCCGGCGGCUGGCUUUGCGCCCGUCGUCGCGCGCGAUUUUUACUGCCGGCGUACAAUAAAUUCUUCUUAGAGGGACAAGUGG